UAUAAUUAUAUAAUAUAACAUAUUCAUGUUUAAAUUUUACAAUAAUAGGAGAUUAGAAUGGGAUAAUUACGAAGCUACAUUGAUAAGAAGAAAAGUGAUCGAGGUUAAAGAGAUUGGCAACGAAAUUCGUGAAAUAUUAGAAAUCUCUGAUCGUGUUGUACAUCUUGAAUUUAGCUUUAAUCAUUUAGUUGUUAUCACACCCGCGCAAUGCCACGUUUACAAUGUGACGAAUUGGAAUACACCAGCGAUAUUUAAUUUAAAGAGCAGUAACAUCUCUGCUGUACUUCUUGCAGAAAAGCACUUCUUAAUUGUGGAAUGGAAUACUGUAUCCUUGUACAGUUACCAAGGCCGUUUAUUAGGUAGUCCAAGAUGGAAAGGAUUUUCUACGGAACCACUUUAUCCUCCUUGUAUAUCGUUAUGCUCUGAUACUUUGGCCAUAAGAAAUCAAAGCAAUGAAAAAUUGCUUCAUAUCUUAGAAAUACCUUAUAACAAGCCAAUAGUGGAAAGCCAGUCAUAUUCACAUUUGCACAACAUAAUACAAGUAGCAUUAAAUUAUAUUGGUAAUAUAAAAGAGCGGCAAUUGGCAUUAAUAGAUGUCAAUAAAGAUUUAUUUUUAGUUGCAAUAAAAACUACAGGCUUUGGAAGAAUAUGCAAAAUUGCUUCAAUGGCACAAAACAUUGCAUGGGCAACCGAUGCAAAUGUAUUAGCUGCAAUGUUAGAUGCAAAUCUGUCAGUAUGGCUGUGUCCUAAUUGUGUUCAUUAUAGUGAUCGUAAAGUAAUACGGCGAACAAGAAUUGAUAAGGAAAGCAGUGAAUUUGGAAAACAGCCUAAUAUCGUGAGGGUUCGUAAUGGUAUGGUUAUGGUAAGACGUGGAGAUGGUGCUAUUGUGGCUUCAUCUUUUUAUAAUCUUUUUACGACUUUCUAUGAACACAUAUCAAACAAGAGACUGAAAGAAGCACUUUCUCUUUGUCGUGUAGCUCAGAAUGAAAUAUUAUGGACUUGUAUGGCUGUUUUGGCAACUGAUAAUAGAGAAUUGCAUGCUGCAGAAGAAGCUUAUGCAGCUAUUUCUAGAUUUGAUAAAGUAGAUUAUAUUAAAUAUAUCAAGAAUUUGCCUUCUGCUAUACAAAGGAAUGCAGAAAUGGCAUUAUUAGCAGGGGAUUUGACAACGGCGGAAGGUAUACUGUUACAAAGUGGUUUAAUUAAAGAAGCUAUACAUAUUAACAUUCAGAUUUAUAAUUGGAAUAGAGCUUUAGAAUUAGCAAUAAAGCAUAAACAGCAACUUGAAGAGGUUCUAAACAAAAGAGCUCAAUAUUUACAGACCAUUGAUAAAAGUGAGACUAAUCAUAAUUUUCUUUCAUUUAUGGCAAAUGUUUCAUUAUCACAAUUGAAUCAAAUGAAUGAUGAAACAAAGAUUAAUAUUAAAAGUAAUACUAAAUAAAUCAAUUUGGAACAAACCAGGCAUACAAAGUUUUAGAAUAUAUAAAAUCUGAAAACACAAAACUAUCUAGAAUUAACUAUCUAGCUUAAUGUCUAUUGUGCUACACGCGCCUUUCGUAAUAUCAAAAACCUGAGAGGCUGAUAGUGGAAAGUAAGGUAGGAAAGGGAAAAAACGAUUGAAGGAGGAUGAA
rnacentral:misc_RNA from 1 species